UAUAAGAAGCAUUGUGUCUAUCUUAAAUACAAUAGAAUUUUCUUUUGGAUAAUUGUGAUUUUUCUCUAUUUUAAUUUAGUGAAAUAAUUUUGAAUGACAUGUCCAGAAGAAGAUUCACACUCUUCUCACUAGUAGGUAUUUGAGUAAAUGACCACUGAAGUCAAAGGACGAUUUCCUGUAGACUGGAGUGUGUCUAAGUUUACCCAGUCAUAAUGUGAGAUGAGCCAUGGUUUAUCAUACCUGGUAUUCUAAGGAGCUCUCAUGCUGGAAACUUUUCAAGGACUGCAGAAGGGAGUGUCUGGUAAACUCGUCUAAAACAGGAGAAGGUCCCUUUCAGCACGUCUCCUGUUUUCUGGAUAGUCUGAACUUGCAGCAGGGUUUUUCAGCUCAAUACUUUGGAAAUCCCCAUUUCAUCUUUCAGCAAAAGUGUCUGUCUUUGCCUUCCCUAAAGCUGAAAUGUAUCUGUUUGUGUUCAAGUAUGUAGACUUGACCACUUGACCACUUUUGUGUGAAGAAAUCAGUGCACUGAUCAUAAUUUAUAUGUAUAUAAGUGUAUUUUCUUUGCAUGGAUUACAAGCACAUUCUGUAAGUAGAUUUUCAAAACAUUCAAUGAGUGUUUAAAGGCUAUUUUCAAUAGAAUUUGCAUUCUCUAAAAUAACCCGUUAUUUAAAUGUAAACUUUGAGUAAAUCCUAUUUUUAUAGGUUGUUAUUAGUAAAACAUAAGAUUAUUAAGGGCUUUUUAAAUAUUCACAUAAUUUCUUUCUACUGACAUACUAAUUGAAUAACAAGAUUACUAAGAUAACUACUGUGUUUCCGAAGUUGUUACCUCUGUCCAGCAUAUUUCUGAUUUCAUUGGGAUGUUGUUGAUUAAAAUGGUUACAAAGUAAUUUAUGCAUCACAAUGAAUUUUAUUCACAGGGAAUUGCAAUGACAACUAUAUUACUGAAGCACUGUCUUUCUGUAAGGCUUUUAAUUCAACCUUUAAUAAUGUAACCACAUUCUUAAAUAAGCAAAUGUAUAUUCAAUUAUAAACAUUAAAGGAAUGGGUGUGGGAGAAAUGGAAUAUUGCUAUUGCAUACUUGGUUAUACAAGCAAAAGGUCAAACCUUCAUUAUCACUAUAUUCUCUUUGGGAAUUUGAGGGAUGUUAUGUUAUUAGGAAGAUAAUUAACAUUACAAAAAGAUUUAUUUUUAAACUGAUUUUUCUUCUAACAAUUUAUUUUCAUACUUGACACUGUGGAAAAUAUCUUGUCACUUACAUGUAAUAUUUUAACACAUUUUUAUUAUGUAUAUUUUUGUAGUGAGACUGUAACAAGAUAAAAAUGGAACUAUAGUCAAUUCAUUCCUUUAACACUGGACUGCAAUGAAUUUAAUUUCCUGAAAAUUGUAUAAAAAAUUUAAAAAGUCAUUGUCAAAACUCCUGUUUUUCCAAGUGUUUCCAAGUAUUUCCAAGUGUUUCCAAGUAUUUCCAAGUGGAGCACAGUGGAAAGAGAAAAUUAAUUUCACCCUACAGUAACCUUAAUUCUCCAGACUUAUGGACUUCUCCAUGUGUUGUUUUUCUUGCACAGCCUUAUGCCUUUGUUUACUCUGCAUUUUUAACCUGUAUUUACAUGGCCUUUGUUGUUAAAGUCCUGAAGCUAACAAACACCUGACAGCUGUGCAGCAGGUAUUGCAACCCUCUUCAGUGCCCAGAAACACAUCAUGUAGUGCACAUCCAUCAAACUGGCACAUGAAGAACCCUGGGAAGGAUUUUGUGUCUUAAUGAAACUUUGACAACAGUAGAAGUGCCUUCAGAGAUUUGUCCCCAAGUGUAACAUGGGAAAAGUUAACAGAUUGGUUCCCUUUCUAAUUUAUCAUUUGUCAAGCUUUCAGGUAUAUAUACUUUAAUCCUGAAUUUUUCAUUCUCUUGUAUUCUGGACUUAAUUUCCACACUGUGUUAUGUCAAAACAAGAAUAAAUCAUUAUAAGGGAGUGGGUUUUUUUUUUGUUUGUUUGUUUGUUUUUUGUUUGUUUGGUUUGGUUUGGUUUGGUUUGGUUGUUUGUUUGUUUUUUUCAUUUGGGCAGCUAUAGCUCUUAAAUGUCAACUUUUCUAGUUUUCUAAGUAAAUAGACUGGAUUAAGUAAAAUCACAUAAAUCAAUCACUAGUUUUGGUUUUGCUAUCUUUAAAAAAUGUUUGUAAAUUUGUGAAACCUUUCAUUUCAGAAUAUUUUAAUUGUUUUAAAAAGUCUUCUUAUGACACUGUAUCUCAUCAUGACACAGAUUUAAAAGGUACAGAAGUUCUGAAAAGGACUGAAAAAAAAUCUUCAGUCUGGCAAAAAGCUUGAGAGUCUCACCAAACUAAAAAAAUAAAAUAACUGUAACAUUUUAUUUUCAAAAAAAAUGCUAUAGACAACUUCUAAAAGAAAAGCUAAAAAAUCUUCUCAUUAUCAUGCAAUUUUCCGAAGUGUAAGAGUAGAUGACAUUGUUUAAGAUAAAAUUUAUAAAGAUGUUAAACUCUAAUAGCAACAAAAGGCUAAGCUAGCAAAUCUGUUUACUUAUGUAAAAACUGUCUCUGCUCUUUUGUCCUCACUAGGAACUGUUCAUGUAAGGUUUAGACGUGAUCUUAAGAAAAAAAGAAAACAUAAACCCCAGAGAGCCCAUAUCCUUUAUUUAGACUUGUAAAUAAGCAAAGAAAAUUUCAAAAUUUCUGUUCUUGCUGUCAGUCCCUAUUAGCGUCCCUCAAAUGUCUGAAACACUGGUCAGGUACGUAGUAUCUGAAUAUGAGUUGAAUAUGAGCUUAGAGUUUUAUUCUUGUUUGUUUGUUUGUUUGUUUGUUAAUGUGUUGAAACAUACAUGAGCAAACUUAACAGACUUGAAGGAUGUGGUUAAUUAUUAUACAAAAUAUUGAUGAUAAUUUCCCAGAAAUAAAAAAUGUGGUUAAAUUUUGAAAACUCUGCUUAUUGUGUUUUUCAUACUAGUGAACUUCAAGAAAAAUGAUACUGUGAGAUAAAAUAUUGUUUUGUUAUUAACAGUAAAGAAAAGCAAGUAUAUUUACGCUUUAUGCCUUCAAAGUAUGUGAUAUGUAACUUCCUUAACAAGUCAGCCAGUGCUACAAUUCCUUUGAAAUCUUGGUAUUUCCUCCUCUGUUUUUCUUCUCACUACCUCAUUUUCCAUUAUUUUCUCCUAGGGCUUUUCUCCUUGUUAUUCUCAUCUCUGCUUUUCCUCUUUCUGUUCACUUUCCUUCACUGCCUCUCAUUUUUCUGUUUCCCAUUUGAGUCUGUUUUCUCUACAUUUUCUGUAAAUGUUAAGCCUCUCAUCCUCCACUUUCCCUUUGGUUCUUGCUUGUAUUCCCUUUCACUUCACUCUCAAAAUUUCUUCAGUUUCUGUUUCUUUAAUUAGUCUCUUUUUUUUUUUUUCUUCUACUCUCAUCAUCUGCCACAUUCACAUACACUGCAUUUUCUUGCCUUACCCAUGUGUAUCCUCUGUAUGGGGUCUCAGUGAAGGUUUUCUUUUGUUUUCUCUUUGUACUCUGCUUUGGAGUCAAUCACUGUAAACACUGCAGAUAUCAUGAAGAGCAAUUUUGGAGGCAAUUCCACAAUCAUUUUAGAAGUAAUCCCAGCAUGCUGGUUUCCCAUGCAUAGUUAUGUGUGUCUGUGUUCAAGAUACACACAUGAUUAUAUGUCUAUCUCUGUGGUG